CUACUUCUUUGCAAUUAAAAGAUGUCAUAUCACAUCUAGAAGCCCUGACUAAAUUUACUCAACAAGCCCUUAAUGAUAGUCAAGCAGGAUUAGCCUUAUUAAAUACUGAAAUGUGUUUAGUAAGAAAGGCUGUCCCUCAAAAUAGAAUGGCCUUAGAUAUUUUAACUGCAUCCCAAGGUGGUACAUGUGCAAUCAUUCAAAGUGACUGCUGUGUCUUGAUAUCUGAUGAAUCUUCCAAUGUGUCCUCUCUGCUAAAGCACAUGAAAAAGCAAGUGGAAGCCCUAAGUGACCCUAUACCUAGUCUUAAUUUGUUUCAUUGGCUCACUUCCAGUAUUGCCUCCCUUUUGCAAUAUGGAUUGCAAUUCCUAUUCCCAUUAUUUCUUGGAAUUUUUCUAUUAGUCAUAAUAUUCAAACUAAUUACUGUUUUCUUCACUCAGUAUUGUAAGACUGGAAUGCAGGCUAGAGUAAUGGUUGCUCAGUGACUUGAGAUGGUCAAUCAAUCUUACAACACUGGAAGAAUUUCCUUUUCUGAUAAAGACUAUGCCUAAGAAUUCAUUUUAAACUAAUCAUUCCAAGUAUUGAAUUAUCUAUUCUCAAAUUGUUAUAAACAAUGUAACCAUAGGAAGUCAUGUAAAAGCACAUGUACAACGUUUGUGCAAUAAUCUAAAAAUAAUUGACAAAUUACAUAACCUAUGAAACGCUUCCCCUGUUAAUAUA